UACGUAAGGUGCGAGCGUUGUCCGGAAUUACUGGGCGUAAAGAGCUCGUAGGUGGUUUGUCGCGUUGUCCGUGAAAACUCACAGCUUAACUGUGGGCGUGCGGGCGAUACGGGCAGACUGGAGUACUGCAGGGGAGACUGGAAUUCCUGGUGUAGCGGUGGAAUGCGCAGAUAUCAGGAAGAACACCCGUGGCGAAGGCGGCUCUCUGGGACGGUACUGACGCUGAGACGCGAAAGCGUGGGGAGCGAACAGG
rnacentral:rRNA from 1 species